rnacentral:rRNA from 1 species
UACAGAGGUCCCAAGCGUUGUUCGGAAUUACUGGGCGUAAAGGGUGCGUAGGCGGUGCUCUAAGUCGGAUGUGAAAACUCUGGGCUCAACCCAGAGCCUGCAUCCGAAACUGGAGUGCUAGAGUUCUGGAGGGGGUAGCGGAAUUCCUGGUGUAGCGGUGAAAUGCGUAGAUAUCAGGAGGAACACCAGUGGCGAAGGCGGCUCACUGGCCCGGUACUGACGCUGAGGCGCGAAAGCGUGGGGAGCAAACAGG